rnacentral:rRNA from 1 species
AUGCCCUCUGACAGGGCACCUGGGCCUGAUGGCUUCUCCGGCCUUUUCUUUAAGGUUUGCUGGGAGGUUAUCAUGGAAGAUUUUAUGGCUGUCAUGCAUGACCUGCACAAGGCCAAAAUCUUUUCCUUUGGGCGGUUAAACUCAUCGAUCAUCUCAUUGCUGCCAAAGAAAGACAGAUCCCUGGAACUGGCUGAUUUCCAACCGAUCAACCUGAUUCAUGGUGUUGCUAAAAUCUUUGCCAAGGUACUGGCAGUGCGUCUUUCACCACUGUUACCGGGACUGAUCUCGCAUGUUUAGAGUGAUUUUGUCAGCGGGAGAAGCAUCCACGAGAAUUUUAAAUUUGUGUGCAAUACUGCGCGGCUGCUACACUGUAGGAAUGUCCCGGCUGUGCUUAUGAAAAUUGAUAUCUCCAAGGCCUUUGAUACUCUGUCCUGGGAAUUCAUGCUCAAAUUGUUGAUCCGGCGAGGAAUUGGACGAAGAUGGUGCUCAUGGAUCCGUGGUCUCAUGUGCACAGCCUCAUCAUCAGUGCUCGUCAAUGGGGAGACUUGUGAUCCAUUUGCAUUGGGCUGUGGUGUAAGACAAGGAGAUCCGCUAUCCCCAGCACUCUACAUCCUUGCUAUGGACACACUUUAA